rnacentral:tRNA from 1 species
CCCGCUCACCGGCUGGAACGUGGCCUGGGACCUCGGCGGUUCCACGGUCAGCAGCCUCUGGAACGGCUCGCUGACCGUGUCCGCGGGCCGGGCC